rnacentral:rRNA from 1 species
UACGGAAGGCAGCAGUGGGGAAUAUUGCACAAUGGGCGAAAGCCUGAUGCAGCUAUGCCGCGUGUAUGAAGAAGGCCUUAGGGUUGUAAAGUACUUUCAUCGGGGAGGAAAAAAACAAAACUAAUAAUUUUAUUUCUUGACGUUACCCGAAAAAGAAGCACCGGCUAACUCCGUGCCAGCAGCCGCGGUAAUACGGAGGGUGCUAGCGUUAAUCAGAAUUACUGGGCGUAAAGAGCACGUAGGUGGUUUUUUUAAAGUCAGAUGUGAAAUCCCUGGGCUUUAACCUAGGAACUGCAUUUUGAAACUGAAAUACUAGAGUAUCGUAGAGGGAGGUAGAAUUCUAGGUGUAGCGGUGAAAUGCGUAGAUAUCUGGAGGAAUACCUGUGGCGAAAGCGGCCUCCUAAACGAAUACUGACACUGAGGUGCGAAAGCGUGGGGAGCAAACAGGGAUUAGAUACC